CUGUAGAAUGAUUCCAGUAAUUCAUUAUCUUAAAGCAUCUGAAAUAGAAAAUUAAGUUUUACAAUAGGAGGGAUAGAAUCCAAAAUGCAUCAGUUAAUAUGCCGAAAACGUAAAUCAUGCGAGACGAAGGAGCUAGUCUGCAAUUAAGGAACUUGGACAGAAAAGGAAAUAGCAUACUCCGUGUGUCCCAAUUUAUGCAAAGAAGUUCACAUUUAUGUAAGGAGUACAGAGUACAAAGAUCAAAACA
rnacentral:lncRNA from 1 species